rnacentral:lncRNA from 1 species
AAAAUCCUAACCAUGUCCACACAUUAUAGGUCAUAGAACGAACUUCAAAUAGCUUACUUCCAUAAAUAAUCAAUUAAAUUCAUUUAAUCCACAUAAUCAAAUAAAAAUUUAAUUCUCAUAGAAAUCCGAUUUUCUCAGGCGUUACAAAAAGUCUGCUGCUUCACUAUUCAAGUAUCCAGUCUUCUUUUGAGGUAAGGGGUAUUAUUUAUAUCAUCUCUGCUUACGAUAUUAUUUUUUGUAUUCGUAAGGAAUAUUAUCUUCGUUCAAUAUUCGUGGGAAUAUUAUUUUCGUUCCACAUUUGUAAG